AGGCCCGUAGCUCAAUCGGUUAGAGCAGCGGUCUCAUAAACCGCGGGUUACCGGUUCAAGUCCGGUCGGGCCUACCA
rnacentral:tRNA from 1 species